rnacentral:rRNA from 1 species
AGGACGAACGCUGGCGGCGUGCCUAACACAUGCAAGUCGAACGGGGGCGUGACAUAACCGAGGCUUCGGCCAAGGCGUUGCGCCUUAGUGGCGGACGGGUGAGUAACGCGUGGACAACCUGCCGCCUGCUGGGGGAUAACAGGGGGAAGCCCCUGCUAAUACCGCAUAAGCCCUCAUUGGGACAUCCUAAGGAGGGGAAAGGUUUAUCCGGCAGGCGAUGGGUCCGCGUCCGAUUAGCCAGUUGGCGGGGUAACGGCCCACCAAAGCGACGAUCGGUAGCCGGCCUGAGAGGGCGGACGGCCACAUUGGGACUGAGAUACGGCCCAGACUCCUACGGGAGGCAGCAGUGGGGGAUAUUGCACAAUGGGGGGAACCCUGAUGCAGCGACGCCGCGUGGGCGAAGUAGCGCUUCGGCGCGUGAAGCCCUUUCGGCAGGAGGGAAACAGACGGUACCUGCAGAAGAAGCACCGGCUAAAUACGUGCCAGCCGCGGC